rnacentral:lncRNA from 1 species
UUAGCAAAUCGAUUUUGUUCACUAAUAUCUUUAGAAAACGGCAUUAUAAGCAGAAAAAAACAAACUUUUCUAUAUGUAAACAUUGUAAAUGUCAGCACAAUAGGUCCCGACGGCGGCCAUGACACUUUGGCAGUUAGGAGGGGGUACGAUUACGGUUUAUCCCAAUACUCGGGGCAUGCAGCGCGAAUGUACCGAAUGAACAUAGUACAAUGUCUUCCUGGAGGGGUAAAAUUUUCCAUUACAAGAUUUUAAGAGAGGCCAUUUACUAUUCAAUUUGCGUUCAUGCAGGGCAUGCAGCGCGAAUGUACGCGAAUGAACAUAGUACAAUGUCUUCCUGGAGGGGUAAAAUUUUCCAUUACAAGAUUUUAAGAGAGGCCAUUUACUAUUCAAUUUGCGUUCAUUUUCAAAUUUGCCGCGCGAGUAUCUAUGUAGCGUCACGUGGUCAUCACAUUUCAUAUUAUUUAUUUCAUUUUCAUGGAUAACCGAUAACCUAAAAAUUUAGUAAAAAUUUUGAUUGGAAAAAAAUGCAUCGAUAACUGUCGAUAAGGGGGUGUGGGAAAUGGAAAUUAGUGGCUUUUUUGCUGUACUGUCUGCCAGUUUUUGCUCUGGGCUCUGGCUGGAUAUCUUGUUUAAACAAUUUUAAUCAGCUGAAAGUGGCCUACAAAAAAAAAACCAAGAAGGAAAUGUAUAGCCUUGUGGCUAUGAAAGGCAAAAGAGAGAUAUAAAAAGUGUAUUGGCUAGUUGGAAGAAAGUCCACAUUGUCCAUGCAUAAUAAGUUAUUACUUUAUCAACAAAUAUCAAGAAGAUAGCAGGGUCACGAGCAUCAACUUCAUAAGUUCAAGAAUAUCGAGGAAAUCCAGCUCCUCGAUACUACUGGGCAAACUAGAAGAUUGAAGAGGACAAAUCCUUUUGAACUAGUUUGAGUGAUAGGUGAUAGUGAAAAACGGAGCAUAGUGCUUGUGUGCUGUGCCUGUGUAUGUUAGAAUAAUAGUGCACGAUCUUGUUAGAUUAGAUAAGAGACGCUAUGGGGUAAGCUCUUCAUUUUAAGAAACAGUAGUAAUUUAGGUUAAAUUAAAAUUGCUCAUUGGUCAAUUAUGACCAGAUUGUUUUUUUAUGUUUGGCAAAAAGGACUUAAGUCAGAAUUGCACAUUGAUAAUGUUUUGAUGAUUUCUGGACCAGAAAAAAACUGUUGUAGAUGUAAACUGUAUGUACAGUAGAAUCUACUACAGUACUGUAGAAAUCAUCAAAACAUUAUCGAUGUGCAAUUCUGACUUAAGCCCUUUUUCCCAAACAUCAGAGAAUUGUAAUGUACAAUAAUUCUCCUAUCUGCUUUUUCAUGAAUUUUGUAGGAGACGAAAAACCAUUUUUAGGAUCAUCUGCUUUCACAUGUAAAUUUUGACAUGUUUUGUAGUAAAUAGAUAGUUGAAUUUACUACAAAACAUGUCAAAAAAUAUAUGAAAACAGGAGGUGACUAUAAAAAAAGUUUUUAGUCUCUCUUACAAAACUCAUGAAAAACAAAUCGGAGAUAUGUCACAUCGGUGACUAUAUCCAGGGAAUGUCUAAAAAAUAUACUUUGAUGUCCCAAGAACCAAAUAUAACCUACAGUCCAUCUAAUUUACUUACCGUUGCACGUCAUUAUCUACGCCAGAGAUCUAAGUUGACAUAGUUGCCAAAGUAUAAAAAGAUCCUGAAUCCAUUUUAAAUCAAAUUUAUCACAUAAUUAUUGUAAACGUGGAUUAUACAACAAAACAAA